GAGACAGCAGCAGCCGCGGUAAUACGUAGGUGGCAAGCGUUGUCCGGAAUUAUUGGGCGUAAAGCGCGCGCAGGCGGAUCAGUUAGUCUGUCUUAAAAGUUCGGGGCUUAACCCCGUGAUGAGAUGGAAACUGCUGAUCUAGAGUAUCGGAGAGGAAAGUGGAAUUCCUAGUGUAGCGGUGAAAUGCGUAGAUAUUAGGAAGAACACCAGUGGCGAAGGCGACUUUCUGGACGAAAACUGACGCUGAGGCGCGAAAGCCGGGGGAGCGAACGGGAUUAGAUACCCCCGUAGUCCCUGUCUCUUAUACA
rnacentral:rRNA from 1 species